UGGGGAAUAUUGGACAAUGGGCGAAAGCCUGAUCCAGCCAUGCCGCGUGAGUGAUGAAGGCCCUAGGGUUGUAAAGCUCUUUUGUGCGGGAAGAUAAUGACGGUACCGCAAGAAUAAGCCCCGGCUAACUUCGUGCCAGCAGCCGCGGUAAUACGAAGGGGGCUAGCGUUGCUCGGAAUCACUGGGCGUAAAGGGUGCGUAGGCGGGUUUCUAAGUCAGAGGUGAAAGCCUGGAGCUCAACUCCAGAACUGCCUUUGAUACUGGAAGUCUUGAGUAUGGCAGAGGUGAGUGGAACUGCGAGUGUAGAGGUGAAAUUCGUAGAUAUUCGCAAGAACACCAGUGGCGAAGGCGGCUCACUGGGCCAUUACUGACGCUGAGGCACGAAAGCGUGGGGAGCAAAACAGGAUUAGAUACCCUGGUAGUCCACGCCGUAAACGAUGAAUGCCAGCCGUUAGUGGGUUUACUCACUAGUGGCGCAGCUAACGCUUUAAGCAUUCCGCCUGGGGAGUACGGUCGCAAGAUUAAAAACUCAAAUGAAUUGACGGGGUCAUAGCUGUUUCCU
rnacentral:rRNA from 1 species